GAGCACGUGGUGCCUUUCAGGCGAUAGCUCCUCUCACUAUCCCCUCUCUCUCCUACUGUUGACAGUAGAGUUAGAUUAUUUUACGACGACAAAGUGUUCUUGCCGUCUCAAAAGCUAAACUGAAUCUGGGGUACGGAACAAGUUGACGUCCUUAAUGAAAGGCAGAAAACUAUUUGAGAUGUGAUGGCACCAUGAAUGAGAUUUCAUCUGACAACACACCUAAGGCUGAAAAUCCUGUACUAACCUUGUGCCUUUACACAUAUUGAAUUGGAUACUGAAGCAGUGUUUGGGGUUAAUGCAAAUCCUCAAUCCUCAUCUAUGAAGAAAAAGGCGUAGGAGUUGCCUAUUGUGAUGCACCCUAUCUUCCAGCCCCAGCCUGCUGAUGUUUUGGAGAUGACAUACACUACAAAAGCCCCAUGAUCUGUGGCAUUGUCUAGUCGGCCAAUUACUAUUCCCAUCUCUGAUUAACUUUGAUGUGGAACCUAAUGAGAUAAGGCAGCUUAUCAAGGCAGCAGCUGAUAGUGGUCUCAUUUAUUCCUGUGGCUGGCACCCAAGCAAGUGACAAAAACUAAUGAGGAGGAGUUUGUAUGUAAGCUCAGGUCUAAGGGAAGUGAGAAAUUGUUCAUCUGCAGUUCAUCAGCGCCCGCCUGAUAUGGCCUCGGCAUCGUCAGAGCGCAGGGCCGAGGCUCUCCACAUAACAGCACAGUGUCUCGCGCUAGAACAAGAGCCAUUUCUCUCCUCCUCUUUCCAGAAUCUUUCUCUUAACAGCUCCUUUUCCCUUCUCCAGGCUCUAAUGGUGCAGCUAAUUGCUCAGGUUCUUUAGUUGUGAGUAGUGGAGGAGUGUGUGUGAACAAAGCUGUUCUCUUUGCCUGAUCUCUAAGAAGUGAAACUCUAAUUUUCCACUACUGCCAUCUGAGUCUAUUUUUUUUC